rnacentral:rRNA from 1 species
CGGCUGCUCAGUAACACGUAGUCAACUUACCCUAUGGACGAGGAUAAUCUCGGGAAACUGAGCAUAAUACUCGAUAGAUCAUAAUGCCUGGAACGGUUUAUGGUUGAAAUGAUUCGUCGCCAUAGGAUAGGACCGCGGCCUAUCAGCUUGUUGGUGAGGUAAUGGCCCACCAAGGCGAUUACAGGUACGGGCUCUGAGAGGAGAAGCCCGGAGAUGGGUACUGAGACAAGGACCCAGGCCCUAUGGGGCGCAGCAGGCGAGAAAACUUUGCAAUGUGCGAAAGCACGACAAGGUUAAUCCGAGUGAUUUCUGCUAAAGAAAUCUUUUGCAAGUCAUAAAACCACUAGUGAAUAAGGGGUGGGCAAGUUCUGGUGUCAGCCGCCGCGGUAAAACCAGCACCUCAAGUGGUCAGGAGGAUUAUUGGGCCUAAAGCAUCCGUAGCCGGCUCUGUAAGUUUUCGGUUAAAUCCAUGUGCUCAACGCAUGGGCUGUCGAAAAUACUGCAUAGCUAGGGAGUGGGAGAGGCAGACGGUACUCGGUAGGAAGGGGUAAAAUCCUUUGAUCUAUCGAUGACCACCUGUGGCGAAGGCGGUCUACCAGAACACGUUCGACGGUGAGGGAUGAAAGCUGGGGGAGCAAACCGGAUUAGAUACCCGGGUAGUCCCAGCUGUAAACGAUGCAGACUCGAUGAUGCAUUGGCAUAUAGCCAGUGCAGUGUCGCAGGGAAGCCGUUAAGUCUGCCGCCUGGGAAGUACGUACGCAAGUAUGAAACUUAAAGGAAUUGGCGGGGGAGCAG